GAUGAACGCUGGCGGCGCGCCUAACACAUGCAAGUCGAACGAUUAAAGCACCUUCGGGUGUGUAUAAAGUGGCGAACGGCUGAGUAACACGUGGGCAACCUGCCCCUUUCAUUGGGAUAGCCACGGGAAACCGUGGAUAAUACCGAAUACUUCGAGACUUCCGCAUGGAAGACUCGAGAAAGCUCCGGCGGAGAGGGAUGGGCCCGCGGCCUGUUGGCUUGCUGGUGGGGUAACGGCCUACCAAGGCAAUGAUGGGUAGCUGGGUUGAGAGACCGACCAGCCAGAUUGGGACUGAGACACGGCCCAGACUCAUACGGGAGGCAGCAGUGGGGAAUCUUGCACAAUGGGCGAAAGCCUGAUGCAGCGACGCCGCGUGCGGGAUGAAGGCCUUCGGGUUGUAAACCGCUUUCAGCAGGGACGAGGCGAAAGUGACGGUACCUGCAGAAGAAGCCCCGGCUAACUACGU
rnacentral:rRNA from 1 species